AGGCAUCUCGCUGUCUGCGCUGGGCACGGAGCGGCGCGCGCGCGCCCGUCUUUCCCUCGGCGGCCCCCGCGGCUCGGACCCGGGCCGGCAGACAGGCCAUCCAUCAUCCGCCCUCCUCCCGCGGAGCGCCGCAGCCGCCGCGGCCAAUCCGGCGGCAGGUGGGGCCGCACCUGCGCGACAGCCCGCCGCUUCCCUCCGCUCCCUUCGCCGCGCCUCGCGUGCUAGCGGUGCCCUUGUGAGCCACUGCGUUCUCCAAGGCCAGAACGGGACAUGGAUACUUCUAAUCAUCAAGGAAAGGGUACAAAUCAAACUGCUCUGAUGGCCUGAUUUGCACUUCUUCUACAGUUGACGAUGGUCGUACUUCUCCAUGUUCUGAGACCAGUUUAAACAAAAACAAAAACCAGACAACAACCUUGCAAGGGAAAGAAUUCAGAGUAAAUAAACAGUCUUUUUCUGGGAAGUAAAAUAUUUCCCUAAGAUGGAGAAAUUGAGAUGAGAGCUCAUCCACAAGAUUACCCAUCAAUGAGCACCAAUAGCAACCAAAUCCACUAGAAGACUGGGAGCUUUUAAGUCAAGAAACUUACAUCAGUAUCAUCAUUCCAAGAAGCGGUAUCCAAGCUGUUUUAUCGAAAGUGCGCAUGGGAGAAACCCCUUUCUGAGGCACAGACCCUGCAGGCUCUGAAGAAAUAGGAUAGAUUAUUGGGAUCUCAUCAGAGAGAGAGACAUCUUCGCCACUGCCAUGAAGUUUCAAGUACAGAACUCUUCCUCGUAAUCAAACUAUUUCUAUGAACAAUUCACUCAUCAUUGUGGGAAAGUCUAUUUUUCAUCUUAACACACAAACAGACAAUAACAAAAUUUGUGAUUUGGAUAAUCUGGAUCUGAUGUUCAUGCUCAAAAUGGAGGCAAUUCGUAAUACUGGUCUGAAGCAUUUAGUCAUUCACUGAGCAGAUACGUUAGGAGCAACAGGCAUGGGCUGUGUUUUUCUAGGCACUGUGAACACAGCAGUCAACGAAGUCAAAAACCUGUGCUCUUAAGGGACAUGAAUUGCCAAAUGGAAACACUAAGUUUUUCUAUUUAUGACCUAAAGCUAGUCAAAUAUCUCCAGAAGUAAGGUAGCUGAGUGAAGUGGUUCAUAAUCUUUCCAUGGGAGCCAAAUCCUCGGUGCUGUGACUCUUUUAGAUAAAUGAUAGUAAAAAUGAAUCAAAAGUUAAUUAGCUUGCACCUCAAUAAUCCAGUCUCCAUCACUGAUGGUCAUCGUGGAAUCUGCGUACAGAGGCAGCUGUAUACAGAUGACAGAGACAGCUCUAACACGUGACACAUUUAAGCACACAGAGGCGGAAGGACAUAAAGUUCCUGGUUGAUUUCCCUUUGGUGUUUGUGGGGAAAUAUCAAGGUCAUAAAAAGUCAGUUUCUAAUAAUCCCUCCAGUCCUCCAUUCCAUUCCCUAAUUUGUAUGCAAUGGCAUUUAACAUUUUGACUUUGCUUAAAAUAAAAUGUGUGUUUGUUUGAUGGUGCUGUGAGUGGGGAGUGAGUCAAAAACUCCGCUGGGGUGUACAAAAGUCUACUCAAAUGUCCACAGCAUCUGUGGGGGAUGGAGAAUAGUUGGAGGAUCUUUCUCCAGAAUCCUUCUGUUCUGUAGUACAAGUAUUACUCAUUAUAGACUAGCACGAAAAAUCAAGUGAAAUGCGAACUUAAGAGUUUAAAAAGAAUAAAUGGUGCUUUUCUGGCCUAUUAGUAGGCAGAUUUUGACUCCAAAAGUCCAGGAUGGGGCCUGAGGUUCUGCAUGUCUAACAAUUUCCCAGCUGAUGCCAAAGCUGCUGAUCAGAGUCUACACCUUAAGAUUAAAUGUGAAAAAUGGCCAAUCUGUCUAUCCUCUGGGUUCCCUCAACAACGCGGCCUCAUGAAGUACCUGCUGCCAUAUUGACCUCAGUACACACACAGAAGAGCCAAGGGAAUUGCUUCUUUGGGGACUGGAGAUAAGACUCUGAGAAUUUAUAGAAACAAACAUUAGAAGGCAGGAAUGUGGAGAGAAGAAAGCUACCUGACAAGGGAAUCUCAGGAUACAAGGAAAACACCAAGGAAUGUAAAUCUCUGUUUACCACAAGCCCUCCUCCAUCACAGAAACACAUCUCAACACAUCCAAGGUUAUGAGGAUGUGAGAAUGUCUUCGCUGCAUUAUUAUUUUUCAGCAUUGCCUCUGCUGACUUCAUGGGAGGAAUGGUGUUUCUUCUUCUCUCCCAUGUCAUGGAAGACACUCCUGAUGGCAUGUCUGUAGGUCUGUAGGAAAGAAUAAUCACCUCAGUAGCUUAGUGUGUGUAUGUGUGUGUGUGUGUCUGACACACUGUAGGUACAUAAUAAAGAUUUGAAAAUAUGAGUUUUUUUUAAUCCAAGCAGUGCCAUGUGUUUACUUGGAUUAGUAAUUGUACCAAUCUACAUUUUAAAGGUAAAACUAGCCAUUCAUUCUUUUGUUUCAGCAGUUGCCUAAUUUUAUUGUUUAAGUAUAAUGUGAGUGAAGGAAACUUCCUAGUUAGAAAUCUAUGAAUAUUAACUUCUUGUCUUCACUAACCAGAGUUGUUCUCAACUCAUAACACGUGGUUUGGUAAACCAUUUGCAAUGUAAACAUAGCAGAUUUUACUUGUAGUUUCAUAAUUUAGGCAGGUUGGCUCUGUAUUAUUUCUAGAAUCACAGGUAUCUGGAUGAAGAAUCACCAUUUUGUCAUUAGAGAUUACAACAAAUGUAGUUUAUUCUUUUUACCGGUAAUAUCAAUGUAAGCAAAAAUUAUACUUUUUAGCUAAGCAUGGUGAAGACACUUAAAGAAGGUGACAUAUGACCACAAGAAUUAAGAACAAACAGGGAAACAUGAUAUCACAAGAAAAAAAUAUGAAGCCAGUGACUAACCCUGAAGGGACAGAGAAGAAUGUACUGCCUGACAAAGAAUUCAACAUUUCUAUUUUAAAGAAGAAGUCCCCAUGAGUCCCUACAGCCACAAUAAAUUGAAUUCUGCCAAAAAUCUUAAUAAGCUUGGAAGAAGACCUUCAGCUCCUGAUGAGAACCCAGCCAGAAACAAGAUGAGAACCCAGAAACAAGAUUUUCAUCUUAUUUCAACCUGAGCAGAGAACCCAGAGGAGCCCUGGCCAGAUUUUUGGUCUACAGGAUUGAGAAGACACCUGCCUGAGGGUCUUAUAGCUAAUGGACUGCAGAAGACUUGAGUCAUCAUUCAAAUUCAGUAGCCAUCCUCUGAUGUCCAGUUGAAGAUUGGUGAUUCCAGAAUAGCUCGCAUUGCCCCAGUUGACUUGCCACACAGCUUCUUUCAGGACUUGAAAAUGUCCUAGCCACCCCCAUCUUACCUCCUACUUCCAAUGCCUUUUAAGAUAGAAAACAAAAAACAAAACAACAAAAAAACACCAGCCACCCUUGUGGGUUAGAUAAUCCUACAUCAAGGUGAAUUCUUGAUAACCAGUUCUGUUCUUCCUUAUGUCUUGUAAACAUGCUAAUUAGAAGGAGCUUGUGUUUGAAGAUCAAGGGAGGAAGAAUUCUGAAGCCAGGGCUAGCCUUAGGGGACAUAACUCCUUCCAGUCACUUCCUGAAUUUUUUGGUACCUGGCUUUUGAGAGUCCUCCAAAGUGAGAAUUUCAUGACAUGUAACCUCUCAACACCUGCAUUUUAAAAAAUUGUCCAAAAUACCGCAGAUACCACAGAAAAGUCCAAAACUUAAGUUUUUCCCUCCACUCAGAGCAUCUUAGCAACAUACUAACCAUAAGACUCUAAGCGCUCUUACCCUCAAUGCAAUUCUCACUGAAUAUCCUGUCAGGAGAACUCUACCUCUCUUCCAUGUUAUUAAGGUUAUUGUUCUUUGCAAGGUGUACACAACACAAAUAUAUUUCUUGGUGAAUGAACUCACUCUCAAAGACUGCUGUCCUUGGGGAUAUAGCCAACAUGCCAUAUCCACAACAUAGGUCUUCUUUACAGUCCUGUUGAAACAUGUAAGAUCAGCUACUAAGUCCCUGCAUCUCAGACAGGAACUUAAUAGAGUACAUUUAAAAAAAAAAUUCAGAAGUAAUUAAAACAAAUUGCAUACAAGCCACCUGUUUAGAAAGUUCAUAAAUUUUAUGCAAUUAUUUAUCUCUUUAUUUUUUCUGAAAUCAAGAGCAGAAUGUAUCCAAGUGAAACUAAAAGAGCGAGGUCAAGGGGAAACAACACAGGGCUUGUGGAGUCAUAAAUAUGUAUUAAAGCAGCAGAGUUAAUUUUGUCCCAAGUUCCAUAUUGGCCAGGAAAAAAGAAACAAGAUCAGCAGAGUUAACAGCUCUCAACCUGAAUAUGCCUCAGAAUUUCUAGGAGGACUUAAGUAAUGAGAUUCCUGGGUUUCUACAUGGACCAACUCAAUCAAACUCUUCAGGAGACAGCUGCUGUUGUUAGACUGUGUCUCCCAAAAUUCUUGUGUUGGAAACUUAGUUCCCAAUGUAAUGAUACUGGCAGGUGUGGCCUAGUGGGGGGUGUUUAGAUCAUGAGGGCUUCAGCCUCAUGAAUGGAUUAAUGUUGAUAUCUCAGGAGUGAGUUUCCUCUUGCUCUCUGUAGCCCUCUCUCUUGCCACAUGAUGACUUCCACCAGGUUAUGACUCAACAGGAAGGCCCUCACAAGAUGUGGAACCUCAAUCUUAGACUUCUCAGCCUCCAGAAGUGAGCCA
rnacentral:lncRNA from 1 species